rnacentral:lncRNA from 1 species
GCCUACCCCCCAUUUCAUCUCUCACCUUGCACUCCCAGAGACCCCUUCAUCUCUCUAAAUCGCCACUGCCAGCCACCCGCCGGAAAUCGUCUACGGCGGCGGCCGACCACUAAUCGGCCCCAAAAUUACACCCUAGAACCACUUCACUCCCCUCAUCUCAAAUCCCCACUCCGUUGUCUUCAAAUUCCCCCCCCCCAGAACUCCUCGAAUAUUAGAUCGAGAGUGAACCCUAAAACCCCAUAAAAUCAAACCGGCAAGACGGUUGGGAAUUUAAGGUCGAAUUUGACCUUAAUCGCAUAUUUUUAGUCGAGAACACCCAAUUAGGGUCUAUUUCGGCCAAAAUUUGAAGAGUCCUCAAAAAUUGGUCCAAGUCGGUUGUCCGUUCAAUUUGGUAGGUAUUCCUGACUUUUUCUUUUCCAUUGUUUGUAUUGUUAUCUUCAUUUAUUUUUUUUCUUUUAUUUCGUUUUCUCAAAAGUCAUCUUUGCAUGUUUUUUCUUAGUUCAGUUUUGAAGUUAAUUGCUGUUUUCCCUUUUAGGUUGGUUGGAUUCAUUAGUUUAGUUGUUGCUUAAUUUCCUUAUUUCUAAAUUUUGGGCCGUAGUGGGAGCAUUAGUACAAAAGUCCAUCUGAUUUCAAUACUAGUCUGUUUGUCUGCCCUUUAGACUUCUCUAUUUGAAUUAUCGAAAUGGACUUGGGUCCAAAGGAAAGGGGUUAACCCAGAUUUAGAAUUGAAGCAGUUGGGUCAAAAUUGACCCAUGAUCCGUUUGGGUUCAGGGGUAAUUUCAGGGGUUAAUUUGGAAAGUGUAGGUAAGGAAUCGUUUUUGUAAAUGCUUGGGAAGCUUCUGGGAAGUGGGAUUAGGGAUUGUUUUGAAAUUCAGAAAACUACUUAGGGGUAUUUGAGCUAAUAUGAAAAUUAAAAAAAGGGCAAAAUGCAAGACUAGUUCCUAAGGGCUGCCCUAAUGCCUUGCAUAUAAAGGCAUAUCUACUUGGCAUUUAAGGGGGACUUUUGAAGAGAAAAAUAGAGCAUAAAAGUCUGAAAAUAAAAAACAGCUAAGAUUUUGGAUAGAAAACCACUGUUCCAUUGAAUUGCUUUCUAUAAUUCCUGACGUUUCAAAUUUCUGAAGCAUCUUUGAUUCACAUGGGUUUGAGGAUAGUUUAAUCUGGUUUUGAAAGCUGAUUCUGUGCUAAAAAUGAGUUGAAUUUUAGAUAUUGUAAAAACUGGUUUGGGUUUAUUGUUUGGAAAACACUAUUUUAUUGUCGGUACGAGCUAAUUCCCGCUCAGUUACUGCUCCUGCUAUUUACUGCUGUUGCUGUUUCUUCUAUAUCUCUAAUUCGAUUUCUGAUUCUAUUUUGCCAUACUCAGGUACCUACCUUUGAUCUCAAAAAUGUAAAGGCUUAACUCAUGUGAUGUUUUGAGUAAGAAAAUGAAGAUUUCUGUUUCAUUAUAUGUCUCUUUUGUUCACUUUCCCAUUUGACUCAUUGAUUCACUCUCUUAUUUUAGCAUGUUUAGAAUAAAGCUAUGCUAUGAGUACUGAGACUCAUGUCAAAAUGUAAAUGGAAUGGUAUUUAACGCCUGAUGAUUCCCAUUUGUUUUAAUUCUUCAGUUUUUUUAUUAUUGUUAGAAGAGUAGUUGAUUCUGUAUUCCACAAUGUGUUGGUAAUUUUAGAUUACACAAAACGUUCGUUAGUUACCAAAUUAGAAUAGUGAAGUUGAGGCA